rnacentral:lncRNA from 1 species
CCGGCCAAAGGAAAACCAACGGAAGAAAAAAGGAAGAAAAGAAGAACAAAAACCCUAAGUGGAAAAAUUCAAUGGAAAAGUGUGAAAAUUCAAGGAAACAAGUGACAAAAGGUAAGAUUUUUCGAUUCUAGCUUGUGAUCUACCUUUCCCAUGCAUCCUUUUUCAUUUUCCAUGGUUGAGAAUCAAGUUUUCAUGAUGAAUCCCUUGCUGGCCGAACACCUAAGAGAGAGAAUUUGAUGAUGAUUUGGUUAGAUUUUAAAGUAUUUUGGUGUUUUUAGUUAGUUAGUGAUGUGNAAUAAAUAUUAAUAUUUAAAUUAAAUACAUAAUAAUAUUUAAAUUAAAUAAAUGUUAAUAUUUAAAUGAUUAAUUAUUAAUAUUUUAAUUAAAUUCUAGAUUAUUAAUAUUUAAAAAAUCUAAUAAAAAUAAAAUGUCAUAUAAAUAAUAAAGGGUAUUUUUGUCUUUUUAUUUUCUAUUCCUUUCUUAUUCCAAAAUUAUUGUUACCAACCAAACACUACAAUAAGUCAUAAUAAUUAUUCUUGUCCUAUUCUCUUUGUCAUACCAAACUAAAUAAUAACUAUUCUAUUCUAUUUUCACCUCAUUCUAUUCCCACAUAAUAACUAUUCUAUUGCAUUCCUGUCUAUUCUGCCAACUAAACGUACCAUAAUUAUCUAAAGUACGUUUUAUUCGAUUUUGUAAAUUUUAUAGAAAAUGAAUUAAAUGAUUAAUUUUUUUGUUUUAUAAACAAAAUGUGAUUUAAUGAAAAUGAUUUUAUAAACAAAAUGAAAAUUGUCUUGACAAUAGAGUAACUAGAGACCACUUGAGGUGUUGUAAAUUUAUGAUUUGAAUUGAUGGCUUAUGUUAAUGUGUUGGCAUGACUGGCUGAGUUGUGUUUUUGUUAACUGUAUGAAUUGCUCUAUUUUACAUUUACAAGCUGGAUAGUAUUAUAUUAGUCAUGUCAUGCUAUCAAAAUUUUAUUGUAUAGUGGGUUUAGCUUGCUGCAAUAGGCGAAUUCUGUGGACCAGCCUAUUAGAGGGGCACGGAAUCCCGUUAUAUUUUACCUCAGUUGGAGAGGCGAGUAGGGUAACUCCCGAGGUAUAACUUUAGAGUUUACUUCACGUCAAACCACCUCGUGCUGAUGAACUCAGCUAACGCCAAGGAACGGCUAUGUUUUUAAAAUAAAAACAUGAAUUAUGUGUACAUAACUUUUUAACAGCCUUGACGGACUCGGUUGGAAUAACCCUCGAUCAAGGUAUCCCUGAUAACUGGGUAUGAGAAUGAUUUUGGCACGAGCCAAAGUUUUAAGAAAUUCAUAAGCCAUGUUGAUUACUCGAUUUAUAUGAAUUGAUUUUAUUUGGUUGCAAUGCGUUGAAAGGUGAUAAAUUACAGUAUGAUGAUUUAUUUUAUCUGUCUCCAUUUACUCCACUUUAGAUAUUUUAGAUGGUAUUUGUUUACUCACUGGGAUUAUAUAAUCUCAUCACCCUCAUUUCCACCCAUUUCAGGCUUAGGAUAGUCUAUAGAUAGCUGAUUUCAUCGAGGACUACCAUUGGAUUUGCAUCCUCCAAACUGUAGGUUCACAGUUUUUCUUACUUUUGGUUAUUCGAGGGCCCACUUGUUACUGUAAAUUAAAUUAAAUACUCUGGCUUACUGUAUUACAGUAUAUAUGAAUUUAUUUUGUUUUUAAGCUACAAAAAUUUAUUUAUGCAAUGUUCUAAAAAUAUUGUUUUAUGAGAAAAUUGAAUAUUUUAUUCUAAUAGUCAUAAUUUCAUUUUAAAUGAAUGUUUUAGACAUCCAAAUUUAUUUUUGAUUAUGAAUUAUGUGUUUUGUACUCGCCUACUACAUUUUUAGCUGGUUUUGAGAUUUUUGAGAAAAACUUACCAAAAUGCCCCUGUGAGAAAAAAAUUAUUUUUCUUUUGUUUUGAUUUGGAAAUAGUUUAUAAUCUCUCAAAACGUGAUACUUAACAACUGUUGCUCACAGGGUAGUUGCGAAAACUGAUAUCAAAGCCUUGUGAGGUUUCGAUUGACAUUCCGGGCAGUGAAUGUCUAUCGGAGCGUCGCGACGAUUGUCACAGGCUCGAGGGGAGUAUCGGAUCGUGACAAAUGAUGUAUGUACUUUGCUGAUCCCUAAAGACGUAAGCCUUAUACAUUGGGCUUACCUUCAUUCCAUAACUCAUAUUGAGUUGUGGAAACAAAUUUUAAAGGCACAUAGUUGAGGAUGUAUGCCGCGGUCAAAAAGGCAUCCGCCCAAAAACUUAUUGGAAGGUUGGUUUGUGCCAUUAUUGACCUAACCAUGUCUAACAAAGUACGAUUCCUUCUUUUUGCAACAUUGUUUUGUUGCGGAGUUCUAAGUAUCGUUAAUUGUCAACAAAUUCCUUUUUCCUCAUAUAAUUCUUUGAACUUAUCAAAUUGGUAUUCAUGACCUCUAUCAGUGUAAAAAACCUUAAUUUUCCUUUCUUUAUGAUUCUCAACCUCUAUCAUAAAGCAUUUGAAACAAUACAAAGCUUCAGAACAGUGAGACAAUAGAAAUAUGGAUCCAUAUUGUGAGUAAUCAUUUAUGAAUGUAUUGAAAUAGGAUGGGCCAUUACAUGCCUUUACAUUCAUAGGCCCACAAAUGUCCGAAUGGACAAGUUCUAGAAGAUAGGUGGCCCUUUUAGCCUUCCCAAAAAGUUUUCAGCUAGAAUUACCAACAAGACAUGGCUCACAUGUAGCAAGUUUAACUUCAACGAGUGAGCCCGAUAACCUUUC